rnacentral:lncRNA from 1 species
AGACAGGGUUUCUCUGUGUAGCCCUGGCUGUCCCAGAACGUACUUUGUAAACCAGGCUGGCCUCAAAUUCAGAAAUCUGUUUGUACCCUUUUUUUUUUUUUUUUUUUUUUAAUGUGAAUACUUUUAGGUGACCAGGUAAUCGUAAAAUGAAUGCUUUGUUUUAGGGGAGGGAAGGUGAGGAAGGAAACAGGCCAUGCAUGUGCCAGCUGCUGGGGACACAGGAUUCUCUUCCUUUUCUAAAACAAAUAGGAAGCUGGGGGACCAAGGGGAACAGAGACUUCCUUUGCUGUGAAUGCUGUGUCUGUGAACUGAGACUGCAAGCAAGGGAUCGCAUUUGCCCUGCUGUGUGUAUUCCACAACAGUCUACAUCCAGCACACACAUAACUGACAUAUAACACACCAAGCACACACUACAUAUAGGAACAUAUACACACAAACCACACGCCAUACACAUACCAUGGCAGGCACACACUCCAUACAGAUACACAGACAUACACACAAACUACCUAUAUGGGACACUCCUACCCUGUCUCCCUCCCCUCCCCUCACAUACAUACCACACAGCACAUAUGUCAUGUGUAUAUAUAACACAUUUCACAUACUCACACCUUAUCACCCUCCUACAGACAUACAUGCCCAUGCAAGUACACACAAAGUAAAUUGCCCUACAGACCAGGCAUGGCCAGACUGGACCUAAUGUAAAACACACAUAUACCACUCAGCACACAUAUCACACUAGAUGCAUAUCCCCCAACACAUACCACACCAGGCAUAUACCACACACAAUAAAUAAGAUUGCCAAAGUUUAGAAAACUAUCCUGGAAUCCCAGAGGUGAAGAUCGCAAGGCUGGCCUCCAAACCUGCCUCAGCCUGUUUGUCCAGAUAGAAUCUGUUGAUGAGAGCAGAAGGCAGGAAUGAAUGAACGGAAUUCCUCAGAUAUCCUGCAGCCCUUCCCCAUAGCUGACCACUCUGCUAAGGGAGGCUCUGCAUGCUGG